rnacentral:rRNA from 1 species
UACGGAGGGGGUUAGCGUUGUUCGGAAUUACUGGGCGUAAAGCGCGCGUAGGCGGCUUUGUAAGUUAGAGGUGAAAGCCCGGAGCUCAACUCCGGAACUGCCUUUAAGACUGCAUCGCUAGAAUUGUGGAGAGGUAAGUGGAAUUCCGAGUGUAGAGGUGAAAUUCGUAGAUAUUCGGAAGAACACCAGUGGCGAAGGCGACUUACUGGACACAUAUUGACGCUGAGGUGCGAAAGCGUGGGGAGCAAACAGG